GUUUUGUCAAGUCAAAAAUCUUAACCUUACUUUUACAAGUGAUUAGGAUUAUUAUUAUUUUAUUUACAUGUAAAUUGAAACAAUAAAUAUUGUGCUGUGUCAUAAUUUAAAACUCAUUAUGUUGCAGUCUUUUCCAGUUGAUAAAAUUGCAAUUCAAAAACUUUUAGAUUUGCACUGUAUGGAUGGCACAGGAAGAGAACAGUACAAGAACAUGAAACAUCGUAUUAUGAAUGUAUAUGUAUGUGAUCCUCAAAAAAUUAUUUUACAAAACAAGAUAAAGAGCUUUAAAAUCCCAAGGAUCCUGCAAAAUGUUUAUUUGGUGUACUAGUCGAAUAAUAGUAUCUAAAAAUAAUGAAACUAUUUUAAAACAUAUUACGGACACGAGGAUGAUAUAGAGCACUUACAUAAAUACCAAAAUCAGAUAAAUAUCUCUUCAAAGUUUAUUUUGAGACUUUCUUCAAAAAUGUAAGUAAAAUAUUUGCAUAUCGACGGCGGAAAGGUAGGACUUCGUAACUGAAAAUUUUUUAUAACAUGAGUUACUUCAGUUUUCGCUUUAGAAUAAGUGUAUCAGCAGCUAUUAAACAGCGAUUACAGCUGGGAAAGUUUCCGGAAGGCUUCCAAAAGGCUUUCCCAGCUCUAAAAGCUGUUUAAUAGGUGCUGAUACACUUAUUAUAAAGCGAAAACCGAAGUAAUUCAUUUUAUACAAAUUUUCCAGUUAUGAGGUCCUGCCUUUCCGCCGUCGAUAUACACAAUAUAAUUUAAAACAAGAAUGUUACCACUAAACCACUUUUUUUAAAUAUUACUCAUGAAUAUUUACUACAGUUUACAAUUUCUAACUAGUGUGUUUGAUUCUCCUAUACCUAUAUUUUACUUUUUUUAGUAAACUUCAGACUGUUCAGGAUAGCAUAAUAGCAUAGGAGGUGAAUUAAAAAGAAUUAAUUUACUUACAAGAAAAGAUAUCACAAACAUUAAACUCUCUUAUGGCAUUGAUUUGAAAGAUGGGUAUAUGUACAAUGAUGAUGCAACCAGUGUUUAUUUUUGGGUUGAAUGCUUACAGACUUAUGUCCAAUAUUAUUUUACAAACAACAGGGCAUACUAAUGGAUAUUCAUUCUGAAUUUAACAUUUAUGAUUUUUGUCUCAUUUUCCUUAAUACUGUGCCAAAAGGAAAUGUUAAUUAAGUUUGGUAAAUCCUUUAUCGCAAUCGAUGGAACUCAUGGGCUCAAUUCCUAUGACUUUGAACUUAUGACAGUAUUAGUAAAAGAUGAAUUUGGGAAUGGAUUUUGUACUGCUUUCUUAUUUUCAAAUAGAAAAGAUACCUACUUUAAUUUACCAAUUUUUUUAAAUACAUGUCUGUGUUGGUAUUAUAUGUAUAGGCAAAUGUUUUCAUAUCAGGCAUAAGCGACACCUUUUACAAUGCCUCGUCAAAUGUAAUGGGUAUUGCUCCUAAUAGACUGUUAAGUGCCUGGCACAUAGAUAGGACAUGGUAAGUAAAUCUUAAUAAAAUAUCUGAUUCUGAAAAAAAUCCUAUUAUGUAUACAAGAUGUAUUAAUGAUGGUUUAGAGAGUAUUAAUAGCUUUUUGGGUAGACUUCUAAGUGAUGCAGAUACAUACAAUUUUAGUAAGUAUUUCCAGUAGAACUACUGCAAUAACAUCAACAAUGGGCCUAUUGUUAUAGGAAGGGGUUGUGGAAUUAAUACCAAUAUGACCAUUCAAAAUUUUCAUAAAAUUUUGGAUAAAAGGGUAUCCAUUAGUUGUUAUCAGUUAAGUUUAAAACUUGGCACUCAUGGAGAGCUAUACCAUAAUAUAUAAUAGGUAUAUCUCAUAAUAUUACAUCUCAUAUUGCUCACUCAUUACAAUAGUGAGCAAUAUGAGAUAUAACAUAUUAUAGUAUAAGUCUCUGUGCAUGACCAGAUUAACAUGUUUGGUGCCCAUCUCGAACAAGCUCCACUUGGCUGGUACCACAUACUUAAAUCAUUUAUUUAGUUACACAGUACUACUCACAUAACUUAUGUGUCGUCAGUACCUUCCGUAAAACCUUCGUGAUGCUACCCAUACGUCAUGGCCACUGAAUGUGUUAAAGCUUGUUAAUGUAGGAGAGUUAUACUAAAAUAUAUAUCUUAUAUUAUAUUGCCUUAAAUAGAAAAAAUAUCUUAUUUAAAUUGUAUCCAUGUAAGUUUUGAUUUAAUGAAAUAAACCUUUUAAUCAAAAAAGUGUUGUUUACUUGUGUA
rnacentral:lncRNA from 1 species